AAGUCGUAACAAGGUUUCCGUAGGUGAGUAAUAUCGAACGUCGCUUCCGGGAUUGUGAUGUGCAUGCUAACGUGACUUCAGGUGAACCUGCGGAAGGAUCAUUACCGAGAGGAGCUUCGCGCUCCAGGGGUUCGCCCCGUCUCCUCACCCUGUGAAUAUUACCUUGUUGCUUCGGCGGGCCUUGGGUUCGCCCAUGCCCCGCGGGGAUCGCGCCCGCCGGCAGCUCCUUCCAAACUCUUGCAAUCUCUGCAGUCUGAGUCAUAUAUAAACAAACCAAAACUUUCAACAACGGAUCUCUUGGUUCUGGCAUCGAUGAAGAACGCAGCGAAAUGCGAUAAGUAAUGUGAAUUGCAGAAUUCAGUGAAUCAUCGAAUCUUCGAACGCACAUUGCGCCCGCUAGUAUUCUAGCGGGCAUGCCUGUUCGAGCGUCAUUUCAACCCUCAGGCCCCCUAGGCCUGGCGUUGGGGAUCUGCCGGCCCGUGCCGCGCAGCCCCCGAAAUGUAGUGGCGGUCCCGCCGUAGUCUCCUCUGCGUAGUAGCACACCUCGCUCUGGGACUCGGCGCGGCCACGCCGUUAAACACCCAACUUCUGAAAUGUUGACCUCGGAUCAGGUAGGAAUACCCGCUGAACUUAA
rnacentral:rRNA from 1 species